AUGCAGAAGUUUUAUUAAUGGGUUUAGGCAGAGACAUCAGUGAGUCAACAGGUGGGAAGUUGGCAACAUAUAAGCAGUCCAAUCCAGUCAACAAACACAGGGGCAAAUCCAGACAACAUAGUGAGAGUGCAGGCAGAGGUUCAGUAUAGCAACUAGCAGUCCAAAACAGAUCAAGAUACACAGGGGCAAAUCCAGUAGACGUGGUGAGAAGGCAGGCAAAAGUUCAAGGCAACAAUAAGCAGUCCAAAACAGAGCAAUAGGGCAAAGUGAGAUAACGUACUUGAUCAAAGCAGGCAGGGUCAUACACAGGCAGGCAGUCAUGAAAGUCUCUUGGAAAACCGCUUAGUAAUCCAGGUAGCCUGGCAAUACUUCACAAGAAACAUGGCCUGAGCUGUUGCUAAAAUACAGCACAAACAGGAAGUGACUGGAGAGGGAGAGGAGCUGAGUCAGUAGUUGGGCGAGGGCUCCCUCUGCUGGCGUGGCGUUACAAUUAUAAAAUGAUCAGUAGGGCCAGACAGAAUCUGUGGAC
rnacentral:lncRNA from 1 species